CGCGGCCUAUCAGCUUGUUGGUGGGGUAACGGCCCACCAAGGCGACGACGGGUAGCUGGCGUGAGGGCGUGACCAGCCACACUGGGACUGAGACACGGCCCAGACUCCUACGGGAGGCAGCAGUGGGGAAUAUUGCGCAAUGGGGGAAACCCUGACGCAGCGACGCCGCGUGCGGGAUGAAGGCCUUCGGGUUGUAAACCGCUUUCAGCAGGGACGAAGCGAAAGUGACGGUACCUGCAGAAGAAGCACCGGCCAACUACGUGCCAGCAGCCGCGGUAAUACGUAGGGCGCAAGCGUUGUCCGGAAUUAUUGGGCGUAAAGAGCUCGCAGGUGGUUUGUCGCGUCUGCUGUGAAAGUCCGGGGCUCAACCCCGGGUCUGCAGUGGGUACGGGCAGACUAGAGUGCGGUAGAGGAGAUCGGAAUUCCUGGUGUAGCGGUGAAAUGCGCAGAUAUCAGGAGGAACACCGGUGGCGAAGGCGGUUCUCUGGGCAUGACCUGACGCUGAGGAGCGAAAGUGUGGGGAGCGAACAGGAUUAGAUACCCUGGUAGUCCACGCCGUAAACGUUGGGCGCUAGGUGUGGGGCUCAUUCCACGAGUUCCGUGCCGCAGCUAACGCAUUAAGCGCCCCGCCUGGGGAGUACGG
rnacentral:rRNA from 1 species